rnacentral:rRNA from 1 species
CAGUAGCCGCGGGAAUACAGAGGGUGCGAGCGUUAAUCGGAUUUACUGGGCGUAAAGCGUGCGUAGGCGGCUUUUUAAGUCGGAUGUGAAAUCCCUGAGCUUAACUUAGGAAUUGCAUUCGAUACUGGGAAGCUAGAGUAUGGGAGAGGAUGGUAGAAUUCCAGGUGUAGCGGUGAAAUGCGUAGAGAUCUGGAGGAAUACCGAUGGCGAAGGCAGCCAUCUGGCCUAAUACUGACGCUGAGGCGCGAAAGCGUGGGGAGCAAACAGGAUUAGAUACCCCCGUAGUCCCUGUCUCUUAUAC